GGGAGGGGCCAGAGAAUUGAGCUGAACCUGGGAAGCAGCACACAGCUGGCCAGUGAGCGGGAUCUACAGAGAAUGAAGGAGUUGGGAGGGACUGCGAAUGAAGACUGUGUUUCUCUGUGUAGCCCCGGCUGUCCUGGAACACCACUCUGUAGACCAGGCUGGGAUUAAAGGCAUGUGCCACCACCACCUUCUGGUAUGUAGUGUUCAAAGGACAUUUGCAGGACAGUUUUGUGGCUGUAGUUCUCUUUCCACCAAGAAGGUCCAGGGAACUGAACUGAGGUCACCAGGCCAGGGGCCUUUUCUGCUGUUCCGGGCCUCCCUCCGCCUCCACCUCAGGCAAGAGCAAUGAAAGAAUGGGAAAUCGAAAACGUGUCCCUGGCCUAGGAGGGAAUUUCUCUAUCUGGACUCUCCAGCCUUCUGCUUCUGGGGUCCUAAGAGGUUCCUGACAGGAAGCCCCAAGAGGGUGGGUGGGGACAGGCCAGGAAAGGCCCCGGGGUCCUGGGGAAGAAGAGGCUGGGUGGGG
rnacentral:lncRNA from 1 species